UUGACCUCGAAUCAGGUAGGAAUACCCGCUGAACUUAAGCAUAUCAAUAAGCGGAGGAAAAGAAACCAACCGGGAUUACCUCAGUAACGGCGAGUGAAGCGGUAACAGCUCAAAUUUGAAAUCUGGCUCCUUCGGAGUCCGAGUUGUAAUUUGUAGAAGAUGCUUUGGGUUGUGGGCUCGGCCUAAGUUCCUUGGAACAGGACGUCAUAGAGGGUGAGAAUCCCGUAUGUGGCCAUGGCCCGCGCCUAUGUAAAGCUCUUUCGACGAGUCGAGUUGUUUGGGAAUGCAGCUCAAAAUGGGUGGUAAAUUUCAUCUAAAGCUAAAUAUGGGCCAGAGACCGAUAGCGCACAAGUAGAGUGAUCGAAAGAUGAAAAGCACUUUGGAAAGAGAGUUAAACAGUACGUGAAAUUGUUGAAAGGGAAGCGCUUGCAACCAGACUUGGGCGCUGCCGAUCACCCCGAGUUCUCUCGGGUGCACUCGACAGCGCACAGGCCAGCAUCGGUUCGGGUGGCUGGAUAAAGGCCGUAGGAAUGUAGCUCUCUUCGGGGAGUGUUAUAGCCCACGGUGCCAUGCAGCCCAGCCGGACCGAGGACCGCGCCUUCGGGCUAGGAUGCUGGCGUAAUGGUUGUAAGCGACCCGUCUUGAAACACGGACCAAGGAGUCUAACAUCUAUGCGAGUGUUUGGGCGUUAAACCCAUACGCGGAAUGAAAGUGAACGUAGGUGAGAACCCCUUUGGGGCGCAUCAUCGACCGAUCCUGAUGUCUUCGGAUGGAUUUGAGUAAGAGCAUAGC
rnacentral:rRNA from 8 species